UUACGGCCAUAUCACGUUGAAGCACCGGUUCCCGUAUGACCACCGAAGUUAAGCAACGUCGAGCCUGGUCAGUACAUAGAUAGGUGACAGCUUGGGAAUACAAGGUUCUGUAAG